UACAGAGGUGGCAAGCGUUGUUCGGAAUUACUGGGCGUAAAGGGCGCGUAGGCGGUCAGGUCAGUCCCGUGUGAAAUCCCUCGGCUCAACUGAGGAACUGCACGGGAAACUGCCUGGCUUGAGUUCGGGAGAGGGAAGCGGAAUUCCGGGUGUAGCGGUGAAAUGCGUAGAUAUCCUGAGGAACACCGGUGGCGAAAGCGGCGUGCUGGACACCUUCUGACGCUGAGGCGCGAAAGCCAGGGGAGCGAACGGG
rnacentral:rRNA from 1 species